rnacentral:lncRNA from 1 species
GUUUUUACUAAUAAAACCACAGUUGUUCGAUGAUGCUCUUUCAUUAUAUUAUUUUAUGGAAAGAGUAUGAACAAAAUAUUUGCAAAACUGUAUAUAUUAUGAACUAAAGGUCUUAGGACAUUACAAUAGUGUGCAAAAAAAUCUUAAACGAAAAUAGUUGCUGAAGAUACGGAGGGGGCAUUAAACAAUUGCAUGUGUUUAGAAAAGCAGAAAAAAAAGAAAAAAUGAUGAGAAAUGAAACAACAACAGUAGGCCGAGAAACAACCAACUAAUCCAUAAAAACGGAAGAUCUCACGACCACGGAAGGGUUGGCAGAUUCCUGUCCUCUAGUGGCACCUGUUAUAUUCUGCUCAAGUAAAAAUUAUGUGAUAAAUCGCAUACGUUGAUGUCACUGUCAAAAGAAGGAUUGGUUAUUCUGUUUUAAUGAAACAAAGGUUGAAACCAAUGGUAACCAUACCUUGUCGUUCUGUUAAUGUUAAAAAAAGAAAGAUUGAAACCAAUGGUAUCCCCUCNNNNNNNNNNNNNNNNNNNNNNNNNA